rnacentral:rRNA from 1 species
AUGGCGGCUAACGCCAUGGAUGAUGGAUCCCUCCUCUACCCUUUGGUCCCCUGCGCCGCCAUGCCGCGGCCGUGGUGCCACGAGUGCCCGCCGAGCCCCCUGGCGAACCGCUGCAGCGGGCUCAGCCGCGCGCACCCGACGAUGCCCUCCGCCGCGGCCGCCGCGCCGCUCUUGUCGCCGCCCUGCUUCUUGAGCUUGUCCAUGCUGACGGCUCUGGCGUUGAACUUGGCCGCCGCCGUCGGCGGUGGUGCGUUUGCCUUCUUGAGGGGCGCGUCGGGCUGCUGCGCCGGCGGGCACUUGGGGAGCGGGUCCUUGCUGAUCCGGCCGCCUUCCGACGAGCUCCGGAACAGGAGGAGGUCGCUGAGUCUCCACCUCCUCCACCCGGCGCUCCUGGAGGUUGGACGCGCGGCGAACGGGUCGGCUUUCUUGGGCGGCGAGCCUGACGCGACGGCGGUGGUGUUUUUGCCGCCGAGCGGGGAGGGCGAGGGCGCCUUGGUCGCCUCCAGGAGUGCCGCUGCGAACGGGUCGAAGUCCGUGCCGGAGCCGACCCUGCUCCGCCGCCGGGGCGACCUCAGGGCGCCUUUCGCGAUCGGCGACCGCGGCGAUGACCCGACGCUCCCGCCGUCGAGCAGGCCGGGCGGCGGCUUCAGCGGCCUGAUCUUUCCCUCGUCGGCGGUCUUCAGCAGAGGCUUCAGCGGCCGGAUUCUCCCCUUCUCGAAGAGCUCGUCGGCGGUCGUCAGGCUCUCCGCCGGCGCGGUCUUGUCGACGACGGUGCCGAACUCGAAGUCCGUGUCCCACGCCGCCGCCUCGCCGCCCAUCCCGGCCUUGGGCGUCCCGGGCCUCUCCUCCCAGUCGAACGGCACGGCCGACGCGGUGGUGGAGUACGACGACCGCGGAUGA